rnacentral:rRNA from 1 species
UACGUAGGGUGCGAGCGUUGUCCGGAAUUAUUGGGCGUAAAGGGCUCGUAGGCGGUUUGUCGCGUCGGGAGUGAAAACCAGGUGCUUAACACCUGGCUUGCUUUCGAUACGGGCAGACUAGAGGUAUUCAGGGGAGAACGGAAUUCCUGGUGUAGCGGUGAAAUGCGCAGAUAUCAGGAGGAACACCGGUGGCGAAGGCGGUUCUCUGGGAAUAUCCUGACGCUGAGGAGCGAAAGUGUGGGGAGCGAAC